UACGAAGGGGGCUAGCGUUGCUCGGAAUCACUGGGCGUAAAGCGCACGUAGGCGGCUUGUUAAGUCAGGGGUGAAAUCCUGGAGCUCAACUCCAGAACUGCCUUUGAUACUGGUGAGCUUGAGUCCGGAAGAGGUGAGUGGAACUGCGAGUGUAGAGGUGAAAUUCGUAGAUAUUCGCAAGAACACCAGUGGCGAAGGCGGCUCACUGGUCCGGUACUGACGCUGAGGUGCGAAAGCGUGGGGAGCAAACAGG
rnacentral:rRNA from 1 species